AAUAGUAGACUUGCUCAGUAUGAGAGGAACUCAAUUUUCAAAUAUUUGGUGUCUAUGCUUGACUGAGGAGCCAGUGAUCUAUAACAGAAUCUGUAGGAUUAUGACUGAAUCCCUCUAAGUCUGAAUCCCCCCCAAUAU
rnacentral:ncRNA from 1 species